rnacentral:rRNA from 1 species
AUACGUAGGGGGCGAGCGUUGUCCGGAAUGAUUGGGCGUAAAGGGCGCGUAGGCGGCGCGGUAAGUCUGGAGUGAAAGUCCUGCUUUCAAGGUGGGAAUUGCUUUGGAUACUGCCGCGCUUGAGUGCAGGAGAGGUUAUCGGAAUUCCCGGUGUAGCGGUGAAAUGCGUAGAGAUCGGGAGGAACACCAGUGGCGAAGGCGGGUAACUGGACUGCAACUGACGCUGAGGCGCGCAAGUGUGGGGAGCAAACAGGAUUAGAUACCCUGGUAGUCCACACUGUAAACGAUGAAUGCUAGGUGUAAGAGGUAUCGGCCCCUUUUGUGCCGGAGUCAACACAAUAAGCAUUCCGCCUGGGGAGUACGGCCGCAAGGUUGAAACUCAAAUGAAUUGGCGGGG